UAGGGAAUCUUCGGCAAUGGACGGAAGUCUGACCGAGCAACGCCGCGUGAGUGAAGAAGGUUUUCGGAUCGUAAAGCCCUGUUGUUAGAGAAGAACGUUGGUAGGAGUGGAAAAUCUACCAAGUGACGGUAACUAACCAGAAAGGGACGGCCAACUACGUGCCAGCAGCCGCGGUAAUACGUAGGUCCCGAGCGUUGUCCGGAUUUAUUGGGCGUAAAGCGAGCGCAGGCGGUUCUUUAAGUCUGAAGUUAAAGGCAGUGGCUUAACCAUUGUACGCUUUGGAAACUGGUGGACUUGAGUGCAGAGGGGGAGGGUGGAAUUCCAUGUGUAGCGGUGAAAUGCGUGGAUAUAUAGAGAAACCCCAGUGGCGAAAGCGGCUCUCUGGUCUGUAACUGACGCUGAGUCUCGAAAGCGUGGGUUGCAAACAGG
rnacentral:rRNA from 1 species